UAGGGAAUCUUCCGCAAUGGACGCAAGUCUGACGGAGCAACGCCGCGUGAGUGAAGAAGGAUUUCGGUUCGUAAAACUCUGUUGUUAGAGAAGAACAGCGCAUAGAGUAACUGUUAUGCGUGUGACGGUAUCUAACCAGAAAGCCACGGCUAACUACGUGCCAGCAGCCGCGGUAAUACGUAGGUCCCGAGCGUUGUCCGGAUUUAUUGGGCGUAAAGCGAGCGCAGGCGGUUAGAAAAGUCUGAAGUGAAAGGCAGUGGCUCAACCAUUGUAGGCUUUGGAAACUGUUUAACUUGAGUGCAGAAGGGGAGAGUGGAAUUCCAUGUGUAGCGGUGAAAUGCGUAGAUAUAUGGAGGAACACCGGUGGCGAAAGCGGCUCUCUGGUCUGUAACUGACGCUGAGGCUCGAAAGCGUGGGGAGCGAACAGGAUUAGAUACCCUGGUAGUCCACGCCGUAAACGAUGAGUGCUAGGUGUUAGGUCCUUUCCGGGACUUAGUGCCGCAGCUAACGCAUUAAGCACUCCGCCUGGGGAGUACGACCGCAAGGUUG
rnacentral:rRNA from 1 species